rnacentral:tRNA from 1 species
GGUGGCGUAGCUCAGCCCGGUAGAGCAGGCGGCUCAUACCCGCUAGGUCAACAGUUCAAAUCUGUUCGCCACCA